rnacentral:rRNA from 1 species
ACCGGAGUGGACGAACCUCUGGUGUUCGGGUUGUCAUGCCAAUGGCAUUGCCCGGUAGCUAAGUUCGGAAUCGAUAACCGCUGAAAGCAUCUAAGCGGGAAGCGAGCCCUGAGAUGAGUCUUCCCUGACACUUUAAGUGUCCUAAAGGGUUGUUCAAGACUAGAACGUUGAUAGGCAGGGUGUGUAAGCGCUGUGAGGCGUUGAGCUAACCUGUACUAAUUGCCCGUGAGGCUUAACCAUACAACACCCAAGGGGUUU